AGGAAUGUGCCUCUGAGGGAAUAUAUACACAACAACAAGCUCUUCAGUACAUGGAUGGCAAGAUGAAGUAUCCACAUCAAACAACUAUGAAGGUCCUACAUAAUCAUUUCCUUGCGCAUGUGCCGGUCAAGAAUGGGAACUUGCGAGCAAAGAGCAUAUACACUGGUGUAAUAUUAAGGCGCAUGAUGGACACAGUCUUGAAUGCUGACACUUUUGAUGACAAG